rnacentral:rRNA from 1 species
AUGUUGCAUAUCAAACCAGAGUGGGACAGAGAAGUGGAAAUUGAAAUCGUAGAAGACGAGGAAGCUCUCAACCCCGAUCCAUAUGAUUUCGUCUACAACAACAUACCAACAAGCACAAACAUGCUCGAAGAAGAAGAAGAUUGCUCAUUAUGCCAUGCAACCAAAUUCAAGUAUGAAACUGAGGGAUUAUGCUGCAAAAAAGGACAAAUAAGACUAGCCACUCCAGAUACGCCUCCUGAGCUAAUGAGACUUUGGACAAGCAACAACCCUGAUGCAAGACAUUUUCGCCAAAACAUAAGAUUUUUCAAUGGGCACUUCUCAUUUACUACUCUAUACUGUCACCUCGACAGAGACACGACAGACAUGCGAACGGCCGGUAUUUACACCUUUCCAGCACAUGGUCAGCUAUAUCACAACAUACACUCAUUUGGUAAUAGCCAAUCAAAUCCAAAGCAUCUCGAGCUAUACUUCUACGACGAUGAUCCAAGCUUAGAGCAUCGAUACCGCCUUUGCCGUGAGGAAAUGUACAAGCAAGACAAGAAUGUCAUUCGAAUUAUAACAGACAUCCUACGCGGUAACCCAUACUCUCAACAGUUCAGAAGUUUGGGACAAGCCGAAAACAUUGAGGACUAUAGACUCAUCUUGAACCUUGACCAGAGAUUGGACCAAAGAACAUACAACGAGCCAAUCAAUUCGGAGGUAGCUGCAGUGUGGAUUGAAGGAAAUGAAAGAAGGGAUACUUAUGACAGAAAUGUAAUAUUACAUGGGAACAACAACGAAAAAGAGCACAUUCGAUCAUAUUGUGGGUGCUAUGAUCCGUUGUCAUAUCCUCUAUUCUUUCCAAGAGCUGAACUCGGUUGGCAUAGGAAAAUACCAAAGAGGGAAACACAAGAGGCACAUAUUGCUACUGAUAAUAUCAUUAAUGACGAUGACCCAGGUAAAAAACAUAUACUAUUAUAUAUUUAA